rnacentral:rRNA from 1 species
GAAAGAUCGGCCCGCGUCGGAUUAGCUAGUUGGUAGGGUAAUGGCCUACCAAGGCGACGAUCCGUAGCUGGUCUGAGAGGAUGACCAGCCACACUGGGACUGAGACACGGCCCAGACUCCUACGGGAGGCAGCAGUGGGGAAUAUUGGACAAUGGGCGAAAGCCUGAUCCAGCCAUGCCGCGUGGGUGAAGAAGGCCCUAGGGUUGUAAACCCCUUUCAGCGGGGAAGAUAAUGACGGUACCCGCAGAAGAAGCCCCGGCUAACUCCGUGCCAGCAGCCGCGGUAAUACGGAGGGGGCUAGCGUUGUUCGGAAUUACUGGGCGUAAAGCGCGCGUAGGCGGAUCUGCAAGUCGGGGGUGAAAUCCCGAGGCUCAACCUCGGAACUGCCUUCGAUACUGCGGGUCUCGAGUCCGGGAGAGGUGAGUGGAAUUCCUAGUGUAGAGGUGAAAUUCGUAGAUAUUAGGAAGAACACCAGUGGCGAAGGCGGCUCACUGGCCCGGUACUGACGCUGAGGCGCGAAAGCGUGGGGAGCAAACAGGAUUAGAU